UACGUAGGUGGCAAGCGUUGUCCGGAUUUACUGGGCGUAAAGAGCGCGCAGGCGGUCGUUCAAGUCGCGUGUGAAAGCCCCCGGCUCAACUGGGGAGGGUCACGCGAUACUGAUCGACUCGAAGGCAGGAGAGGGUAGUGGAAUUCCCGGUGUAGUGGUGAAAUGCGCAGAUAUCAGGAGGAACACCGAUGGCGAAGGCAGGUCUCUGGGCAGGAACUGACGCUGAGGAGCGAAAGCGUGGGGAGCGAACAGG
rnacentral:rRNA from 1 species